rnacentral:rRNA from 1 species
UACAGAGGGUGCGAGCGUUGUUCGGAAUUAUUGGGCGUAAAGGGCGCGUAGGCGGCUUGAUAAGCGUGCGGUGAAAGCCCGGGGCUCAACCCCGGGUCGGCCGUGCGAACUGUCGAGCUGGAGCACUGUAGAGGCAGGUGGAAUUCCGGGUGUAGCGGUGGAAUGCGUAGAGAUCCGGAAGAACACCGGUGGCGAAGGCGGCCUGCUGGGCAGUGGCUGACGCUGAGGCGCGACAGCGUGGGGAGCAAACAGG